rnacentral:rRNA from 1 species
AGCAGCCGCGGUAAUUCCAGCUCCAAUAGCGUAUAUUAAAGUUGUUGCAGUUAAAAAGCUCGUAGUUGAAUUUUAGGCCUGGCCAGGCGGUCCGUCUUUGGCGAGUACUGUCUUGUUGUCGGGUCUUCCUUCUGGUGAACCAGUAUGCCCUUUAUUGGGUGUGUUGGGGAGCCAGGACCAUUACCUUGAAAAAAUUUAGAGUGUUUAAAGCGGGCUAUUGCUUGAAUAGAUUAGCAUGGAAUAAUAGAAUAGGACGUUGUGGUUCUAUUUUGUUGGUUUCUAGGACCACCGUAAUGAUUAAUAGGGAUAGUUGGGGGCAUUAGUAUUCAAUUGUCAGAGGUGAAAUUCUUGGAUUUAUUGAAGACUAACUACUGCGAAAGCAUUUGCCAAGGAUGUUUUCAUUAAUCAAGAACGAAAGUUAGGGGAUCGAAGACGAUCAGAUACCGUCGUAGUCUUAACCAUAAACUAUGCCGACUAGGAAUCGGACGAUGUUAAUUUUAUAAUGACUCGUUCGGCACCU